UACAUGGGGUGCAAACGUUGCUCGGAAUCAUUGGGCGUAAAGCGCGCGUAGGCGGUUACUUAAGUUGGAUGUGAAAGCCCUCGGCUUAACCGAGGAAGUGCAUCCAAAACUGAGUAGCUAGAGUACGAAAGAGGGUCGCGGAAUUCCCGGUGUAGAGGUGAAAUUCGUAGAUAUCGGGAGGAACACCGGUGGCGAAGGCGGGUCUCUGGGCCGAUACUGACGCUGAGGAGCGAAAGCAUGGGUAGCGAACAGG
rnacentral:rRNA from 1 species